CCUACGGGUGACAGCAGUGAGGAAUAUUGGUCAAUGGGCGAGAGCCUGAACCAGCCAAGUCGCGUGAAGGAUGACGGCCCUACGGGUUGUAAACUUCUUUUGUCAGGGAGCAAUUGGGUCCACGCGUGGGCUUAGCGAGAGUACCUGCAGAAAAAGCAUCGGCUAACUCCGUGCCAGCAGCCGCGGUACUACGGAGGAUGCGAGCGUUAUCCGGAUUUAGUGGGGUUAAAGGGUGCGUGGGCGGAAUAUCAAUUCAGCGGUAAAAAUUCGGGGCUCAACCCCGUCGUGCCGUUGAAACUGAUGUUCUUGAGUGUGCGAGAAGUAUGCGGAAUGCGUGGUGUAGCGGUGAAAUGCAUAGAUAUCACGCAGAACUCCGAUUGCGAAGGCAGCAUACCGGCGCCCGACUGACGCUGAGGCACGAAAGCGUGGGGAUCGAACAGGAUUAGAUACCCCUGUAGUC
rnacentral:rRNA from 1 species